UACGUAGGGUGCGAGCGUUAAUCGGAAUUACUGGGCGUAAAGCGUGCGCAGGCGGCUUUGCAAGACAGAUGUGAAAUCCCCGGGCUCAACCUGGGAACUGCAUUUGUGACUGCAUAGCUAGAGUACGGUAGAGGGGGAUGGAAUUCCGCGUGUAGCAGUGAAAUGCGUAGAUAUGCGGAGGAACACCGAUGGCGAAGGCAAUCCCCUGGACCUGUACUGACGCUCAUGCACGAAAGCGUGGGGAGCAAACAGG
rnacentral:rRNA from 1 species